rnacentral:lncRNA from 1 species
AUGGAUAGGCAAGACCUGCAGAGAUCCUGUGAAGGACACAUGGAGAAUCACAUCAGUAAGGCAAUGCCAGUGCUGAAUGCAACAGAGAGAAGCAACACUGCUGGAGCCAAGUGUGAUGAGAUGAAAUGGGAUGCAGCAUCAGCAAUAGAAGUACACAAGAUGAUGUCCUCCUUAGCAGAUCAUUUUCAGCUAUGUCAGCAGGCCCUGAGAAUGUCAGCACACAGGACCCACAGAGAAAAGGAGCAGCAGGACAGGAAGGAAACAGGAAGCCAUACAGAGACCCAGGAUCUAUGGCACCACAGAUCUUUUGGACAGCUCCUCAUGCCUGUCUCCUAAGGCCUUCAAGCCAGACUCUCAAGACUUCUGGCAAGUCUAUGAGUUCCUAAAAGUCUUCAAAUAAAUUCUCAUUUGUUCAAGUUGUUGAGAGCA